CCUAAUGUUGCCUAAAUAGUUGUGCAUGGAAUAAUGGAAUAGGACCUUGUUACUGUUUUGUUGGCUUUCGGUGAUCAAGGUAAUGAUCAAUGUGGACUGGCGGGGGCAUUCGUAUUGCGACGUUAGAGGUGAAAUUCUUGGAUCGUCGCAAGACGAACUAGAGCGAAAGCAUUUGCCAAGUAUGUCUUAGUUGAUCAAGAACGAAAGUUAGAGGUUCGAAGGCGAUCAGAUACCGCCCUAGUUCUAACCAUAAACGAUGUCAGCCAGCAAUCCGCCGAUGUUCCUCCGAUGACUCGGCGGGCAACCCCAGGGAAACCAAAGCUUUUGGGUUCCGGGGGAAGUAUGGUUGCAAAGCUGAAACUUAAAGGAAUUGACGGAAGGGCACCACCAGGAGUGGAGCCUGCGGCUUAAUUUGACCCAACACGGGAAACCUCACCAGGCCCAGACAUUGGAAGGAUUGACAGAUUGAUAGCUCUUUCUUGAUUCAAUGGGUAGUGGUGCAUGGCCGUUCUUAGUUGGUGGAACGAUUUGUCUGGUUAAUUCCGAUAACGAACGAGACUCUAGCCUAUUAACUAGGCGUCCGAUAUCGUGUGCUAUCGGCGAAAUAUGUUCUUCUUAAAGGGAACCGAGGCGCUCAGCCUCACGAGAUUGAGCAAUAACAGGUCUGUGAUGCCCUCAGAUGGUCUGGGCCGCACGCGCGCUACACUGAUGGAAUCAGCGUGUUCCUCCCUGGCCGAAAGGCCCGGGUAACCCGCUGAAACUCCUUCGUGCUUGGAAUUGGGGCUUGCAAUUGUUCCCCAUGAACGAGGAAUUCCCAGUAAGCGCGAGUCAUAAGCUCGCGUUGAUUACGUCCCUGCCCUUUGUACACACCGCCCGUCGCUACUACCGAUUGAAUGAUUUAGUGAGGUCUUCGGACUGGUGACAAUUGGCUCCGCUUCGGUGUAGCCGGUGUUGCCGGGAAGAUGACCAAACUUGAUCAUUUAGAGGAAGUAAAAGUCGUAACAAGGUUUCCGUAGGUGAACCUGCGGAAGGAUCAUUACCGUACGACCAUGAGAGUGGUCAGAGGUACCUGGUCCUUAUGUGGCAAAUGCUGCGUGUGCCCUGGCUAUUGCAGAGGUCUAUAUCAGCGGUCUUCGGAGCGCCGGCCUCUGCGUAUUACCUGUCGGGGCGUCGCACGCUAACAUUGGCAAAUGUCGGCCUGCGCCGACGCUGCGUCCGCCCAGGCUAUUGCGGAGGUCUAUAUCAGCGGUCCUCGGAGCGCCGGCCUCUGCGUUUACCUGUCGGGGCGUCGCACGCGAAGGCAGCGGCUGAAGGUAUCAAAUACCAAAAUUAUUACCCUGAACGGUGGAUCACUCGGCUCGUGGGUCGAUGAAGGACGCAGCGAAAUGCGCGUCAUCAUGUGAACUGCAGGACACAUGAACAUCGACAUUCCUAACGCCCAUGGCGGCCCUUGGGGUUACACCUCGAGGGCCACCCCUGUCUGAGAGUCGUAAAGUCAAACGUGACCGAGGGACGCUUUUCGCGUGCCUCGGACACUGUGACCCGUGUCGGCUUCGGUCGGCUUGUUGGAGGCGUGCUGCUUCUUAAAUAGGUUCCAGACGUGGACGACCUACCGGUCGGUCACCUUGGAGUCCGUUGCCAGACCCUCUGGGUCCGAGACCGUCGCGGCGCCUGACUCUUGUCAGGUGUCGUCUCCUAUCGCUGGCGCGGCCUACGUCCGGCGAGGCCACUUCGCUUGUUGAUGCGUACGCUCGGCUGACUGUGAUGGUCCUGUCGGCGUACAGAUACAAAGUCGAAGGAGGCCGAGCCGAUCAGGCGUUGUGUCAAAACCGGCGUGGAGGCGUGGCUUGCGGUCUCGGCAAACGAGAGUCGACAGUAGCAACGGGCGUCCCGGUGGCCGAGUGGCCGGUGGUGUCUGCCCGACUGGACCGGUCGGAGGGCUUCGGCACUCAGACCGGCACUGUCUCAGCGCCUCUAGGGGUGUGUGAGACUACUAUUGACAGCGACCUCAGAUCAGGUAAGGGUACCCGCUGAAUUUAAGCAUAUUAGUAAGCGGAGGAAAAGAAACUAACAAGGAUUCCCCUAGUAGCGGCGAGCGAACAGGGAAGAGUCCAGCACCGAAUCUUUAGCGCCCUGCGUGCUAACGAAAUGUGGUGUUUAGGAGGGUCCGUAUUCCGGGGCUCGUCUUGCCGAGUCCAAGUCCUUCUUGAACGGGGCCAUGGUCCGCAGAGGGUGCCAGACCCGUAGCGGCCGGUGGCGUCCCCGGAUGGGCCUCUCCUUAGAGUCGGGUUGCUUGAGAGUGCAGCCUAAAGUGGGUGGUAAACUCCAUCUAAGACUAAAUAUGACCACGAGACCGAUAGCAAACAAGUACCGUGAGGGAAAGUUGAAAAGAACUUUGAAGAGAGAGUUCAAUAGUACGUGAAACCGUUCAGGGGUAAACGGGGAAGACUUGAAAAUCCGAAACGAGAGAUUCACGUCUUCCGCAGGGCACGUCAAGCUUGUCCGUGGACGGCCGUACUCCCUCGCUCUGGCUUCGGCCCGGGUGAUGGUGGGUCGGUCGGCCGGUCAGGUGCGGCGGGCUCGCGGAGGGCCGCACUUCUCUCAUAGUAGGACGUCGCGACCCGUCCGGAGGCAUGCCUGAUGCCCGGCAUGAAGUCCCGAGUCAGUGGCGGCCUCACGGCCGUCGCCCUCGGGGCUGCUGAGGCAGGGUGGCGUUACGGACGGCAGUUAAAGACGGUGUCGGGCCGCUCUCUUGAGCGCUUCGGCCACUCCCGAGUUGGACGCAGAGUGCGCUGUCGGGCCCUCCCGGGCCCGCAGGGCUUCUCGCCUUGCUGUCAGGGGGUGGUUCUGAGGCCGAGUCCACAGCACCCGUCGGCGACGCCGCAGUUUCGAGCUCUUACCCGGCCCGUCUUGAAACACGGACCAAGGAGUCCAACGUGUGCGCGAGUCGUUGGGUGAAAAACCCAAUGGCGUAAUUAAGGUGAAGGGAAGUUCUCUUUCCUAGGGAGGAGUGGAGCCCGCCUUAACGGGCGGCUCCUCGCACUCCCGGGGCGUCUCUUGCUCACUGCGAGCUGAGGCGCACCUAGAGCGUUCACGUUGGGACCCGAAAGAUGGUGAACUAUGCCUGGCCAGGACGAAGCCAGGGGAAACCCUGGUGGAGGUCCGUAGCGGUUCUGACGUGCAAAUCGAUCGUCGGAGCUGGGUAUAGGGGCGAAAGACUAAUCGAACCAUCUAGUAGCUGGUUCCCUCCGAAGUUUCCCUCAGGAUAGCUGGCACCCAUGUGAGACGAGUCUCAUCUGGUAAAGCGAAUGAUUAGAGGCCUUGGGGUCGAAACGACCUCAACCUAUUCUCAAACUUUAAAUGGAUGAGAACCCCGGCUUGCUUGAUUUAGUGAAGCCGGGGCUCGGAUCCGGGUGCCAAGUGGGCCAAUUUUGGUAAGCAGAACUGGCGCUGUGGGAUGAACCAAACGCGGAGUUAAGGCGCCAAAAUCGACGCUCAUCAGACACCAUGAAAGGCGUUGGUUGCUUAAGACAGCAGGACGGUGGCCAUGGAAGUUGGAAUCCGCUAAGGAGUGUGUAACAACUCACCUGCCGAAGCAACUAGCCCUGAAAAUGGAUGGCGCUGUAGCGUCGUGCCUAUACUCCGCCGCCAACGGCAAACUCGGCGCGGUUCCCUAGUGGGACCGGUCGCUGUUAAGCCUUGGUGAGUAGGAGGGCCGCGGCGAUGUGCGUAGAAGGGUCUAGGCGUGAGCCUGCCUGGAGCCGUCGCCGGCGCAGAUCUUGGUGGUAGUAGCAAAUACUCCAGCGAGGCCCUGGAGGACUGAUGUGGAGAAGGGUUUCUUGUGAACAGCCGUUGCACAAGAGUCAGUCGGUCCUAAGCCCUAGGAGAAAUCCGAUGCCGAUGGGCGCCGUUACCAAUGCCAACGAUCUUGAUCCGAAACCACCCGAGCCGUUCCUGGGUCCGCACCGGUCCACGCCCGUCACUGGGCGAUGCUAUGCCGUGGCACAAAGGAACCGGGUUUGCGGCGCGUGGUAGGGACUAGGAUCCGAGGUCUUGACAGGUGAUGCUGGCGCCCUAGGUUGGGCGAAAGGGAAUCCGGUUCCUAUUCCGGAACCUGGCAGCGGAACCGUUCCAAGUCGUGCCCUCUGACGAGAGCUCGUCGGGGUAACCUAAAAGGACCCGGAGACGCCGUCGGGAGAUCCAGGGAGAGUUGUCUCUUCUCUAUAAGCGUUCGAGUUCCCUGGAAACCUCUAGCAGGGAGAUAGGGUUUGGAGCGCAAAGAGCACCGCAGUUACGGCGGUGUCUGGAUCUUCCCCUCGGACCUUGAAAAUCCGGGUGAGGGCUACGAGGAACACCGCGCCAGACCGUACCCAUAUCCGCAGCAGGUCUCCAAGGUCAACAGCCUCUAGUCGUUAGAAUAAUGUAGGUAAAGGAAGUCGGCAAACUGGAUCCGUAACCUUGGGAUAAGGAUUGGCUCUGAGGAUCGUGGUGAGCCGGGCUUGGUUGGGAAGUGGAGCGGUGUCAACGAUCCGGGCCUGGGCGAGGAGAGCGGCGCUACUGCGUUCGUGAUUCUCUGCUCGGUCCCGCGACUUGGCCACCCACGGAUCUUCCUUGCUGCGAGCUGCCGGCUGCCUAGUCACUGGUUUCGGCCGGAGGACGGGCCGGCUGUCUCUUCGGCCACCGAUUAACGGUCAGCUCAGAACUGGCACUGACCAGGGGAAUCCGACUGUCUAAUUAAAACAAAGCAUUGCGAUGGCCCCAGAGGGUGUUGACGCAAUGUGAUUUCUGCCCAGUGCUCUGAAUGUCAACGUGAAGAAAUUCAAUAAAGCGCGGGUAAACGGCGGGAGUAACUAUGACUCUCUUAAGGUAGCCAAAUGCCUCGUCAUCUAAUUAGUGACGCGCAUGAAUGGAUUAACGAGAUUCCCUCUGUCUCUACCUACUAUCUAGCGAAACCACAGCCAAGGGAACGGGCUUGGAAUAAUCAGUGGGGAAAGAAGACCCUGUUGAGCUUGACUCUAGUCUGGUACUGUAAGGAGACAUGAGAGGUGUAGCAUAAGUGGGAGGGUGGUUCUCCACCCGACAGUGAAAUACCACUACUUUCAUAGUUUCCUUACUUACUCGGUGAGGCGGAGGGCGUCCGUCGAUGGCCUUCAGGCCACGGCGAGACGGUCUUCUUGCGCCAAGCGCCGGGGUUGGCGCCGGCCUUCUGGAGCGUUGGUUGGCUUUGCUAGGCGCUGUCGUAAGGCACGUGCCGAUGCGGACCUCCAGCGCGUUCCGGGAGCGUCGGUUAGUCAACACACUCCCCGGCGUGAUCCGAUCCGAGGACACUGCCAGGCGGAGAGUUUGACUGGGGCGGUACAUCUGUCAAAUAAUAACGCAGGUGUCCUAAGGCCAGCUCAGCGAGGACAGAAACCUCGCGUAGAGCAAAAGGGCAAAUGCUGGCUUGAUCCCGAUGCUCAGUACGCAUAGGGACUGCGAAAGCACGGCCUAUCGAUCCUUUUAGCUUGAAGAGUUUUCAGCAAGAGGUGUCAGAAAAGUUACCACAGGGAUAACUGGCUUGUGGCAGCCAAGCGUUCAUAGCGACGUUGCUUUUUGAUCCUUCGAUGUCGGCUCUUCCUAUCAUUGCGGAGCAGAAUCCGCCAAGCGUCGGAUUGUUCACCCGCCAAUAGGGAACGUGAGCUGGGUUUAGACCGUCGUGAGACAGGUUAGUUUUACCCUUCUGAUGACUAAAAUUUUCAUUGCAACGGUAAUCCUGCUCAGUACGAGAGGAACCGCAGAUUCGGACAUUUGGUUAUGCACUCGGUCGACAGGCCGGUGGUGCCAGGCUAUCAUCCGCGGGAUUAUGCCUGAACGCCUCUAAGGCCGAAUCCCGCCUGAUAGCCCUGACAUCUAGGGGUCCCAUGGGUCGAAAGGCUCAAAACAAUGUGAAACUGUAGGUGGACCCAGUUCGGCUGGGACAUCGCACGAGCCAUAUUACCGCGGGGGCCCUCGUGUGGAAUCGGUCCGGGCUAGAGCCCGUCCGGUUCCCGGUCUCCGUGGGUAGCAUGGGUCACCCUUCGGGGAGUUCGAUGUUGGGACCCGGAAUCGUCUGUAGACGACUUAGGUACCGAUGCGGGGUGUUGUACUCGGUAGAGCAGUUGCCAUGCUGCGAUCUGUUGAGACUUCGCCCUGGCUCGGGGGUUCGGCGUCUUUGCGUCGUACUUCCGAGUGGUACCACUUAAACCGUGUCUGGAGUCAGAGUGCCAUUAACCAAAAGUCUUAAGAAUCCAAAGACGUGUGCGUAUACAUAAGUCAUCAGUUGGGACACAAGUUCUAGGGUGAACGUUCGAUUGCUUUGGUGGACAAUGCUCGCUCAGAGUGUCGGUCGGUCUGGACGUUGGUUGGCUCGGGGCUUGGCUCCGUUGACAACCUGGCACCCAGCCGACGCGACUCUCAGUUCAGUAACCAUCGAAGGUGACGCAGCAACCUUGGCUGUCAGUGAAAGAUCUUGGUGGCAAAUAAAGUGGCGGUGGAUUUUUCCGUGACCUCGCAAUGCGAGGCCAGGGGAAGAUCCUAGUCACGAUGUCGUUGUCAGGGUGAGGCAGACACCUUGGCAAUCCGAUGACAAGGCAAACAAAUGUCGCCGCCCGCCGACGGUGCGUGCGCCCUGGCUAUUGUGGGGGUCUAUAUCAGCGCUCCCCGGAGCGCCGGCCGCCACGUUUCACCUGUCGGGGCGAAGGCCGCGGUGGCUAAAGCGAUCGUGGCGGUGGAUUUUUCCGAGACCUUGCACUGCAGGGCUAGGGGAAGUUCGUCGUCACGAUGUCGUUGUCAGGGUGAGGCAGACACCUUGGCAAUCCGAUGACAAGGCAAACAAAUGUCGCCGCCCGCCGACGGUGCGUGCGCCCUGGCUAUUGUGGGGGUCUAUAUCAGCGCUCCCCGGAGCGCCGGCCGCCACGUUUCACCUGUCGGGGCG
rnacentral:rRNA from 1 species